AUUGCUUCUCAGCCUUUUGGCUAAGAUCAAGUGUAGAACUGUUAUUAUUACAAGUUUUUUCCUGAGCAAUGGAUGACUUCUC
ensembl:snRNA U2 U2 spliceosomal RNA